rnacentral:rRNA from 1 species
GACGAACGCUGGCGGCGUGCUUAACACAUGCAAGUCGAACGGUGAAGGGACCGGUUUUUGCUGGUUCUGGAUGAGUGGCGAACGGGUGAGUAACACGUGAGUAACCUGCCCCCUUCUUCUGGAUAACCGCAUGAAAGUGUGGCUAAUACGGGAUAUUCUGCGCCUGCUGCAUGGUGGGUGUGGGAAAGAUAUUGUUUCGGUGGGGGAUGGGCUCGCGGCCUAUCAGCUUGUUGGUGGGGUGAUGGCCUACCAAGGCGGUGACGGGUAGCCGGCCUGAGAGGGUGGACGGUCACACUGGGACUGAGACGCGGCCCAGACUCCUACGGGAGGCAGCAGUGGGGAAUAUUGCACAAGGGGCGCAAGCCUGAUGCAGCGACGCCGCGUGAGAGAUGGAGGCCUUCGGGUUGUAAACCUCUUUCGCCAGUGAAGCAGGCCUGUCCCUUUUGUGGGUGGGUUGACGGUAGCUGGAUAAGAAGCGCCGGCUAACUACGUG